GAUACGUUGCCGCCGGGCAACAAAAUGAACAUUCAAUUAUCAUGUCGUUAGGCCAUAGAAGACAUGAGAUUUGGGUGUUUUUUUCA
rnacentral:ncRNA from 1 species